UAUCCUAUCCAGCAGCAUUAGUUAGCAAUGAUAUAGAAAGAACAAGACCUUUUUUUAUUGUUCGCCAAGAUUUGAUUAUUAUCGUAAUUUAAUCAGAAUUAAAUGAAUCUGCGUUUCUUUUUUUGGGGGUGGGUGGCAGACAAACCGUUACAGUAACAUCCUUAGCGACGUGGGUCACCUCGACAGCACCAUUGAUAUCCUGAAGAUUGAUGUAGAGGGAAGUGAACUCCUCUUCUUUAAAGAUGUCUUUGAGCGCACACCUAAUCUCCUAAAAAACGUGAAAUUUAUAGCAAUGGAGGUGCAUAUUGGAACACAAAAUACAGAAAUUGGAAGGUAACACAUGUUGUUCUGGAAAUACUUUCAAUUGUUGGAUUGCCUCGGCUUCAAGAUAGUGUAUAGUGCUAUCAAUCCUGUCUCUGGGGGAAGAGCAGUAAAUGGAAGGCGUCGCUCCUGCUGUUAUGAAAUAGUGUGGGUGCAAGACCGUGCCUGGUAACACAACACCUCUAACUUUCAUCUACUCAUAACAGUAGAAACAACAAAAUAAUAAAAAAAUAGUUUACAA